UACGUAGGUGGCGAGCGUUGUCCGGAUUUACUGGGCGUAAAGAGCGCGCAGGCGGCUGGUCAAGUCCGAUGUGAAAGCUCCCGGCUUAACUGGGAAAUUGCAUCGGAAACUGAUCGGCUGGAAGGUGGGAGAGGGUAGCGGAAUUCCCGGUGUAGUGGUGAAAUGCGUAGAUAUCUGGAGGAACACCGGUGGCGAAGGCGGCAUCCUGGACCAUGACUGACGCUGAGGAGCGAAAGCCAGGGGAGCAAACGGG
rnacentral:rRNA from 1 species